GAUGAACGCUAGCGGCAGGCCUAACACAUGCAAGUCGGACGGUAACAUUGGUUGCUUGCAACCAGAUGACGAGUGGCGCACGGGUGCGUAACGCGUAUAGAACCUACCCUGUACAGGGGGAUAGCCCAUGGAAACGUGGAUUAAUACCCCGUGGUGAUAUUUUAUGGCAUCGUAGAAUAUUUAAAGUCUUCGGGCGGUACGGGAUGGCUAUGCGUCUUAUUAGUUAGUAGGUGAGGUAACGGCUCACCUAGGCAGCGAUAAGUAGGGGCCCUGAGAGGGGGAUCCCCACACUGGUACUGAGACACGGACCAGACUCCUACGGGAGGCAGCAGUGAGGAAUAUUGGACAAUGGAGGUAACUCUGAUCCAGCCAUGCCGCGUGCAGGAAGACGGCCCUAUGGGUUGUAAACUGCUUUUAUACAGGAAGAAUUGCGAUCACGUGUGAUUGUUUGACGGUACUGUAAGAAUAAGGACCGGCUAACUCCGUG
rnacentral:rRNA from 1 species